CGCCAAUGCGGCAGCUACACAUGCAGUCGAACGAAGCCUUCGGGCUUAGUGGCGGACGGGUUAGUAACGCGUGGGAACGUGCCUUUCACUACGGAAUAGUCCCGGGAAACUGGGUUUAAUACCGUAUACGCCCUUCGGGGGAAAGAAUUUCGGUGAAAGAUCGGCCCGCGUUAGAUUAGGUAGUUGGUGGGGUAAUGGCCUACCAAGCCUACGAUCUAUAGCUGGUUUUAGAGGAUGAUCAGCAACACUGGGACUGAGACACGGCCCAGACUCCUACGGGAGGCAGCAGUGGGGAAUCUUGGACAAUGGGCGCAAGCCUGAUCCAGCCAUGCCGCGUGAGUGAUGAAGGCCUUAGGGUCGUAAAGCUCUUUCGCCAGGGAUGAUAAUGACAGUACCUGGUAAAGAAACCCCGGCUAACUCCGUGCCAGCAGCCGCGGUAAU
rnacentral:rRNA from 1 species